UACAGAGGUCUCAAGCGUUGUUCGGAUUCAUUGGGCGUAAAGGGUGCGUAGGUGGCGCCGUAAGUCAGGUGUGAAAUCCCGGGGCUCAACCCCGGAACUGCACUUGAUACUGCGGUGCUCGAGUACUGGAGAGGAGAUUGGAAUUUACGGUGUAGCAGUGAAAUGCGUAGAUAUCGUAAGGAAGACCAGUGGCGAAGGCGGCUACCUGGCCCACUCUUGACGCUGAGGCGCGAAAGCUAGGGGAGCAAACGGG
rnacentral:rRNA from 1 species